rnacentral:lncRNA from 1 species
AGAAGGAAGCACUUUUCUAUAAAAGCUUUAACACUUUUCUGUAAAAGCUCCUCCCUAAAUAUCUGAAUUCAUUAAUAUUUGGUAUUUCUUUUUCUUAAAUAUUUUGUUGAAUUUACCAGUGAUCUGGACAUAGAAUUUUCUUUGUGAGAAGAUUUUAAAUACAAAUUUAUUUUCUUUAAUGAAGUGCAAGUGAAAGGGGUGUUUUCCUUCUCCUUUCGAGUGGAAUCAGACUCUGCUCCUAGUGCUCAUCUGCUUGUUUACACUGUUUUACCUAAUGGAGAAAUUGUUGCAGACACUGACAAGCUUGAGAUUGAAAACUGUUUUGCCAACAAGGUAAAUUUGAGAUUCUCCUCAGCUCAGAGCCUGCCAGCCUCAAACACCCGCCUGAAGGUGAGAGCCACCCCCCUCUCCCUUUGUGCCCUCCGUGCUGUAGACCAGAGUGUGCUGCUAAUGAAGCCUGAAGCUGAGCUCUCACCUAAAUCUGUCUAUAACUUGCUACCAGUAAAGAGUCCAUUUACCUUUAGAGCUGGAGGUCCUGCG